AAUCAACGCUGGCGGCGUGCCUAACACAUGCAAGUCGAACGCGAAAGUCCCUUCGGGGAUGAGUAGAGUGGCGUCCGGGUGAGUAACGCGUGGGUAAUCUACCCUUGGGUGGGGAAUAACCAGUCGAAGGAUUGGCUAAUACCGCAUAAUGCAGCGGCUCGACAUCGAGACAGUUGUUAAAGCGCAAUCGCAAGAUUGCGCGCCUAAGGAGGAGCCUGCGUCUGAUUAGCUUGUUGGUGAGGUAAUGGCUCACCAAGGCUGCGAUCAGUAGCUGGUCUGAGAGGGCGGGUCGGUCACACUGACACUGACAUACGGGUCAGACUCCUACGGGAGGC
rnacentral:rRNA from 1 species